AAGCCAAUAACUUAAAGGUUAAAGUGUUAGCUUGAUAAGCUAGAAAUAAGAGUUCGAUUCUUUUUUGGCUUA
rnacentral:tRNA from 1 species